CCUCCACUCUAUAUCUCUCAAUCUAGUAGAAACUAGAAGAUCUAUUUCUACUUACAUUGGUUGCUAAGCCUAAAAAGAAAUAUUAUUUAGAGAAGAGGUUUUCCUUCGAGGGCACCCCUCAAUCUCUAUGAUAACUUCUUGUCUUCUCUAGGGGCCAGGAGGUCUCCUUAUAUAGUCCUCCUCCUCUAUACAUUUUUGGGUCGGUAGGCGAGGUGGUACUACGUUAUCUUUGAUCCAUUAGGUCGGUGGAACAUCGUGUGCGAAGAGAGUCCCGAACGGAGUACAGGAGGGGGUGGGCGCCCAGGUCCUCAGUGCGGGCGCCCUGGGCCUGGCCCCUUUCGGCCUCUGCCUUCUUCCCGUGGCUUCUGGAGUCUUCUAGAUGGUAGAAAAUCGUGCGGUGCGUUGAUAUCUCUAUGUAAUCCCGACAUGUGGGCCUUUCUUCCUUAUUUCCUGAUAACCCCCUGCAGAAACAGAUAAACAACAAAACUCGUGGAAUUCUGUCAGAUCAAACCCUAAUUCUAGGUGUUGGUUGCAUAUUGGUCCUUUCUCUUAUUUAUUUGAUAAUUAAAAUUGAUACUUAAGAACCGUCAACAAAUACCUCCAUACUUAGGCUUUUACUCGUCCUCGAGAAAAGGAUGGUUAAAAAUAUCUGUGGUAAACAUUUAGAACAUUCUCUUUAUAAUCGCAGGGUGUUAAAAAUCACUGUGUACUAUAGUCAGGGAAGUAUAUGGUUAAGAGUAAAGAUCCUUUCUUCUCAAUCUUGUCACUUGGAGUUUUUUUGUAUAUUUUUGAAAGAAAGUUAGCAUACCUUUUUCCUCAUAGGUUCUUCUCAGAUCACUCAUUAUCUUUUAUAUAUAUCUCACUGAGGUUGUUUUAAUUUGCAAAAAUUCUCAAGCAUACUUACUUUGCAUUUAUUGCCUGAUCAAAAUGGGAUCCGAGGAGGGGAAUGUAAUACUCUUAGAUCAAAGACUUUGGAACUUAAAAUCUUUGUCAACUCUUGCUGGCAUAUUGCUUAUUAGAGGGACCAUGGGCUAUCAUUUUCUUCUCUUUUUUUUCUCUCCUUUCUCUUUUUUUAAGUGGAUACCGAGGUAUCCCUAAUUCUACUGUCGGACAUUUAUCCAUUUUUUUCUGCGAGGUUAUCGAGCACUUGCUCCUUUUUAUUUCCUCGAAAAUAUCUUUAUUUUUGCAUAGCCCAUGCCUCUAAUGCAAUAAUACUUCGGAAGAGUAAAUCUUUCUGAAUAAAUGUCUUGAUCUUAGGAGCAUGAUAAAUCUCUCAACAAGGGUCUAACUCAUUUUGAACAAACUCAAUACAGAGUAGAUAGCUUUUACAAUCAUAAUUAAUAUUUUCAGUUUUAACAGGCAUAUAAAACACUGAGGAUGGCAGCUAGAAGUUUGAAGAUUUUGAAAUAAAUUCUCCAAGUAACAAUGAUAUCAAGAAUAAGAAACUCAUACUCUACCAUCUCACAUUCCAUACUGUCUUAAGUAACACAGAGUUUUAAAAUGAUUUUAUAAUAAUAGUUGCAAGUUUUCAGGAAAUAUCACAGAGUGAGAUUAAUCAUGAUUAGAAACAUUUUAAUCUUUAUCAUGUCGGAAACAAUAUUCUGCAUAAUCCAAGAUAUGUGUAUGUGUAAAGUAAAGUGUGCAGAGUGUGUACCUGAAUCGUGGAGUGGUGUAGUCGGAGUGUGUUUGGCAUGUUGAGGGAUCUCCCCCAUACUUGUUUUCUGCUUUCUUGCACAAAAAUAAAGUAGAGACACACAAGACAUAAUAAUAAUACUCUUUAUUAACUUUGAGGCAUUUAUUACAAAAGACUAGUAGUAAACUGAUAGCAAACUAAUGAUAAUAGUAAACUUAAACCUUAUUUAAAGAUAGAUAACUAAGAUGCAUUGCCUCAAGGUCUAAUCUAGAUAACUUAGCGGCGCUCUAAUUCCUUAAUCUUCUUGUUGGCAUUGGCGAGAUCCUGCCUAAGGCCUAGUAUAAUGCUGUCUAGUCUGCGAACAUCCUCAUCAAUAUCCAUUAUAGUCUUGCGACACUUGGGAGGUGUCUCAAAAGCAUUGAGAGCGUGCUUCGGGCCUGAGGGAUGAAACGGACUUUGGCUGCUCUAAUCCCUUCAAAGUAAGGCCUUUCCUCCUCCGUAGUGU
rnacentral:lncRNA from 1 species